rnacentral:rRNA from 1 species
AACGAACGCUGGCGGCAUGCCUAACACAUGCAAGUCGAACGAAGCCUUCGGGCUUAGUGGCGCACGGGUGCGUAACGCGUGGGAAUCUGCCCUUGGGUUCGGAAUAACAGUUAGAAAUGACUGCUAAUACCGGAUGAUGUCUUCGGACCAAAGAUUUAUCGCCCAAGGAUGAGCCCGCGUAGGAUUAGGUAGUUGGUGGG